UACAGGGGGGGCAAGCGUUGUUCGGAAUUAUUGGGCGUAAGGGCUCGUAGGCGGUUUGUCGCGUCGGGAGUGAAAACACGGGGCUUAACCCCGUGCCUGCUUCCGAUACGGGCAGACUAGAGGUAUGCAGGGGAGAACGGAAUUCCUGGUGUAGCGGUGAAAUGCGCAGAUAUCAGGAGGAACACCGGUGGCGAAGGCGGUUCUCUGGGCAUUACCUGACGCUGAGGAGCGAAAGUGUGGGGAGCGAACAGG
rnacentral:rRNA from 1 species